rnacentral:rRNA from 1 species
UACGUAGGGUGCAAGCGUUGUCCGGAAUUAUUGGGCGUAAAGAGCGCGUAGGCGGUCCGGUAAGUCGGUUGUGAAAACUGGGGGCUCAACCCUCAGAGGCCGACCGAUACUGUCGGGCUAGAGUCCGGAAGAGGCGAGUGGAAUUCCUGGUGUAGCGGUGAAAUGCGCAGAUAUCAGGAGGAACACCAAUGGCGAAGGCAGCUCGCUGGGACGGUACUGACGCUGAGGCGCGAAAGCGUGGGGAGCAAACAGG